GUGAAGAGCUACAGAUGGAUGAUAAAGAGUAGGGCUGGGAAACUUGUAUAAUAUAAUCCCUGCAUGUAAUCCCACAAGGCUGUGUCAGCAGUCAUGUGAUCCUCAUGACAUUUGCCCUCUUACAGCACAUCCUGUGUUAUGCUUAGAUGCAAGACAAGAGUCACACUAGGCACAAACAGCAGAAGGUAGGAGGCUCAUGGAGGCUACUAAAUGUGUUUGCCCACCAUUUUAUUCUGAAAAAGGUAGAAGACUAUGUCAUGAUGAAUAAGCAAUAUUAAAUUCCUGACUAAACAUAAUUAUUAAAUAUGAGUAUAUAUCUUCAUAUUAAGAAGAAGCCUAAGAAGUAAGUAUGAGGAAAGAUUUCUGAAUUGCUUACUCUAAAAGGUACAUAUUAACCAUGGCUCUCCUGUCCCAAAUAUAUCUGUAAAGGUGUAGCUGGUGAUUCCAAGUCUUACCAACAUCCCCAGGGAAGCAUUCCUGUCCAUUGUUGUGUACCUGGAAAAGUCAGGAUAGGGAAAAUGGGGUACUCUACACAUACUAGUCAAACAUACAGAUUGUGAGACUUUUAACUGAGAAAUGUGAUGUAUUUUUCAGUAAAAUGUGCUUAUUCUUUUCAGCCUUCCCUGUAGUAGCAACGGUGACAAAAAAAAAAAAAUCGACAGGGCUUAGAUGUCCAUCAUCUUAAAAUAGCUGAAUGAGUUCUUGCAUAACAAAUUGUAUUGCCUGCGUGAAAGUCUUUCCAGAUAAAAUGUUGACUCGAGAAUUGGAAGUAGUGUGUUUAUUUCAGUUCAGUCUUAUGAUGGAGUAGAGGAGGAUGAUCCUUUCAUUAUGUGGAUGUAAAAUACGCACAGAGGUAGCCACACCUCUUUUGGUAUAUGACUGAGAGAUUGUUUUCGAUGCCAGUGUGAAGUAGAUCCAAGCACAAUAUAUCUGAAAUUGAUUGAAACAUCACUAUAUAAGUGAAGUGGCUUUUAUGAGGCUACUAAUGGGCAAAGAAAAGUUAGACUGCAAGAUUCUUGAGCCUCGUGUGACCUUUGAGCUUAUAGAUUCAAAUAUCUGUCUUUAUUUGUGUUCACCAUGAGUUGUCUCACCCAAACUCACAGAAAAAAAUAAAUUGAGGAAAUCUUAACUUGUGAUCUUUCUGCCUUGGUAUGGCAAGACUCUCCUCCCAUGAUAUGUCAGUGUGAAACCCAUGACACCUGUUUUUCCUGUCUCUCUGUCCAGCACUCUGUCCUACAUCUGUGGCCUUCUUUCUGGUACAGUGAAGCCUUGGCCCUCACAUCCUUGCCUGAGGCUACUGUCUGAGAUAAGAAGUAUGCCCCAGUAAGUCUGGGCUUAAGUUUAAGACUUAAGAUAAUCCUGACAGCUGGAAAGGCAACAGUCCAACCUUGAAGCUCUGGAGAUCUCAGAGCCACUGCUGAUACCAGACAAUGCUUGCCAGGGUUAAAAGAUUUUGUGGCUUGUUAAAUACUUUACUACAGUAAAUUCUUUUGGUCUUCUAGAAAGCACUUCACUCCUAUAUUCUUGCCUUCUUACGUACUUUGUACCAGUAGAAUACCAUCAUUCCAGAACGUUUAAUUCUUAAAAAUCUCAGUACGUUCAAUCUUACAACACUAAAAUAUCUUAUUUAGACUGCUGAAAUAUGUGCAACGUAACUAUAUAGGUGCAUUUUUGAGCUUCUUAAGGUUUAGAAUGAAUUCCUCAUUCAGUUGGCUUUGAAGAAAUGGAAACCAGUGUGUUAUUUUGUUUAUAAGCUAGUACUUCAAGAUAGAGAAAAUUCACCCUAGUUCUCAAGGGUUCUACUUUGGUGAAAACAGCUGUAUGUGAAAGCUCUCUGUAUGCACCAGGAAGCCUCUGAGACAGGCUUUGCAGACACAUCCAGGGCUCAUCCUUCAGUGUGUAGCUUGAGAAAACAUUAGACUCUCUAAUACUUCCCUUCAUUAUUUCUGCAAGUGGCUAUGGACAGCUGAAUCAACAGCUUAAAGGUUGCACAGUAAAGCAUAUAUAUUCAAAAGGUCCUGGGGAGGUGGCUUAGUCAGGAGUACCUACUGCACACACAUUAGAACCUGAGUUUGAUCUUCUGCUCACACUUAAAAAAAACAGGUAUAUUGGUGUCAUGCCUGCAAUCCCAGCUUCAAAAGGGUUUGAAAGCAAAGACAGGAGGAUUCCUGGGACUUAAUGGUCACCAGUUCUAGAUGAACUAGUGAGCACUAUGUUCAUUGAGAGAUCUUGUUUCAAAAAGUAAGGUAGAGGGCAAAUGGAUAAUGUACAUAACAUUGACUUCUGGCCUUUACAUGAAUGCUCACACAUAUAUGCACAUGUAUAUGUAAAUAUAUGUAUAUAUACACACACAUAUAUAUACAUAUAUAUGUAUAUAUAUACAUAUACAUAUACACAUACACAAACAUAAAAACCUCGUAUAUGUAUGUACAUACAUACACACAAAAGACAAUAUAGCCUUGUAUUGGUAUAGGUAGAUAAAUGGCAACAACUAUUCUGUUUCAAGGCUAAAGUGGUAGAGUUUCAAUUUUAUGAGAUAUGGCCCCAAAAUCUACAUCAAUCUAAGCAUCUGAAGAUGAAUUCUUUGUAAGUAUAAAUCAGUAAUCAUGUGUGGAUACAGUAUUAGUUAUAAGAAUAGUUCUAACACCAUUCUUUCACAAUUCUCUGAAUUAUGCAAAGUGAUCCUUACAUUCUACAGUUUACUAAGAGACAGAUACUCAUUGCCCAUAAGUCAAGUGAAGGUUACUGUCAAAUUCACAAUUUCAAAUUGGGCAUUAGAUUUGUCUUAAGUGACUAAUGGACUCAGACAGUCUGGGAGAAAUGUGUCUUUGAAACACUAUUUAAUACACGGAAACUCUAGAAAUUAGAUAUGGCCAUAAGGAACAAAAUAAAGAACACUGC
rnacentral:lncRNA from 1 species